GUAUUUUUAAGUGUCAUGAACAUUACUCUGGAAAUGUUUCAGUGAAUCAUGUAAGAGUUCUUUAGCUAUUUAACUCCUGGAUUGCCUUGUUCUCUUGAACAUAACUUGAUAGGUAUGUUUUGAUCUGUCUUGUUUUCAGGCUGCAAAGGAGAGACAGAAGAUCAGAGCAGAAGAGAUUCAGAUUGAUGUCGUGGAAAGGAAGAAGCAGAUUGAAGUGGAAGAGAAGGAGGUGGCCAGAAAAGACAAGGAGCUGGUUGCUACUGUCAAGCGACCUGCUGAGGCUGAGAGCUACAAGGUGGAAACCAUAGCUCAGGGCAGAAGGACACAAACUGUGUUUGCAGCUCAGGCAGAUGCAGAGAGGAUUAAGAUGACAGGCUCUUCAGAGGCUUCUGCCAUUGAAGCUGUCGGCAAAGCAGAAGCUGAGGGUAUGAGGCAAAAAGCAGCAGCUUACAAAAUGUAUGGAGAUGCGGCCUUAACCUCACUGGUUCUGGAGGCAUUACCAAAGGUCAGACAAUCUUAUUUUCAUUUAACACAUUGCUAACAGGAUGGUAACUAUUGUAUCAAAUAUUUUAAAUGACCAGACAUGUCUGUUCGGUUUCAAUGAAUGGCUAAAUUUUGGUAACUUAAGGUGGCUCCCUAUAGUUUUAUGAUCACACAUGCACUGAGGAGGAAAGCUCAAGUAAUCUGUGUGCCCUCAAAGGAAAACGUCAGUCUUUUUGGAUAAAUUAUGUUAAGACGUCAACGUGAGCACAAAAACCAAAACUAAGCAGCGGUAAAAGACAUAACUUUGCAAAAAUUGAAAACACUGCCUUU